rnacentral:tRNA from 1 species
UCCUUGGUGGCCCAGUGGUUAGGACUCGGCACUCUGACUGCCGAGGGCCCGGGUUCAAUUCCUGGUCAGGGAA